rnacentral:rRNA from 1 species
UACGUAGGUGGCAAGCGUUGUCCGGAUUUAUUGGGUUUAAAGGGUGCGUAGGCGGUCUAUUAAGUCAGCGGUGAAAUACUCCAGCUUAACUGGAGGGGUGCCAUUGAUACUGAUGGACUUGAGUCAAGUCGAGGUAGGCGGAAUUGACGGUGUAGCGGUGAAAAUGCUUAGAUAUCGUCGAAGAACACCAAUAGUGAAGACAGCUUACUGGGCUUAAACUGACGCUGAGGCACGAAAGUGUGGGGAUCAAACAGG